GACAGAGGGUGCAAACGUUGUUCGGAAUUACUGGGCGUAAAGCGAGUGUAGGCGGUCUGCUAAGUCGGGUGUGAAAGCCCCGGGCUCAACCCGGGAAGUGCACUCGAAACUGGCAGGCUAGAGUAUCGGAGAGGUUGGUGGAAUUCUCGGUGUAGAGGUGAAAUUCGUAGAUAUCGAGAGGAACACCCGUGGCGAAGGCGGCCCACUGGGCCGGUACUGACGCUGAGGCGCGAAGGCGUGGGGAGCGAACGGG
rnacentral:rRNA from 1 species